rnacentral:tRNA from 1 species
GGGCGCGUGGCGUAACUUGGAUAGCGCAUCUGGCUUCGGACCAGAGGGUUGCGGGUUCAAAUCCCGUCGCGCCCG